rnacentral:rRNA from 1 species
UACGGGGGGGGGCAAGCGUUGUUCGGAAUUACUGGGCGUAAAGGGCUUGUAGGUGGCCAACUAAGUCAGACGUGAAAUCCCUCGGCUUAACCGGGGAACUGCGUCUGAUACUGGAUGGCUAGAGUGUGGGAGAGGGAUGCGGAAUUCCAGGUGUAGCGGUGAAAUGCGUAGAUAUCUGGAGGAACACCGGUGGCGAAGGCGGCAUCCUGGACCGAGAUUGACGCUGAGGCGCGAAAGCCAGGGGA